rnacentral:misc_RNA from 1 species
UACGUAGGGGGCGAGCGUUGUCCGGAAUUAUUGGGCGUAAAGGGCGCGUAGGCGGCCCCGUAAGUCGAAUGUGAAAUCCCAGGGCUCAACCCUGGAACUGCAUCCGAUACUGCGGGGCUUGAGGCAGGUAGAGGAGAGUGGAAUUCCCGGUGUAGCGGUGGAAUGCGCAGAUAUCGGGAGGAACACCAGUUGCGAAGGCGGCUCUCUGGGCCUGACCUGACGCUGAGGCGCGAAAGCGUGGGGAGCGAACAGG